CACAUGCAAGUCGAGCGAGAAAGUUUCUUCGGAAACGAGUAAAGCGGCGGACGGGUGAGUAACGCGUAGGAAUCUACCAUUCAGUGGGGGAUAGCUCGGGGAAACUCGAAUUAAUACCGCAUAUACCCUAAGGGGGAAAGAGGGCCUAUCCUUGGAAGCUCUUGCUGUUUGAUGAGCCUGCGUGAGAUUAGUUUGUUGGUGAGGUAAUGGCUCACCAAGGCUACGAUCUCUAGCUGGUCUGAGAGGACGAUCAGCCACACUGGGACUGAGACACGGCCCAGACUCCUACGGGAGGCAGCAGUGGGGAAUAUUGGACAAUGGGGGCAACCCUGAUCCAGGCAUGCCGCGUGUGUGAAGAAGGCCUUCGGGUUGUAAAGCACUUUAGGUAAGGAAGAAAAGUCAUUGGUUAAUACCCAAUGACCAUGACAUUACUUACAGAAUAAGGACCGGCUAACUCCGUGCCAGCAGCCGCGGUAAUACGGAGGGUCCAAGCGUUAAUCGGAAUUACUGGGCGUAAAGCGCGCGUAGGCGGUUUGACAAGUUGGGUGUGAAAUCCCCGGGCUUAACCUGGGAACUGCAUUCAAAACUUUUAAACUGGAGUACGGGAGAGGAGAGUAGAAUUCAUGGUGUAGCGGUGAAAUGCGUAGAUAUCAUGAGGAAUACCAAUGGCGAAGGCAACUCUCUGGACCGUAACUGACGCUGAGGUGCGAAAGCGUGGGUAGCAAACAGGAUUAGAUACCCUGGUAGUCCACGCCGUAAACGAUGACAACUAGCCGUUGGACUUUCGGGUUCAGUGGCACAGCUAACGCAUUAAGUUGUCCGCC
rnacentral:rRNA from 1 species